rnacentral:rRNA from 1 species
UCUGACAUCAAAGGUGCCGUGUUAUUGCCUGGUUUUCACUAAAGCUAAGCAGGGCUAAGCCUGGCCAGUACCUGGAUGGGAGACCUCCUGGGGAAAACUAAGGUUGCUGCUAGAA